CGAACGCUUCUUUUUCCACCGGAGCUUGCUCCACCGGAAAAAGAGGAGUGGCGAACGGGUGAGUAACACGUGGGUAACCUGCCCAUCAGAAGGGGAUAACACUUGGAAACAGGUGCUAAUACCGUAUAACAAUCGAGACCGCAUGGUUUUGAUUUGAAAGGCGCUUUCGGGUGUCGCUGAUGGAUGGACCCGCGGUGCAUUAGCUAGUUGGUGAGGUAACGGCUCACCAAGGCCACGAUGCAUAGCCGACCUGAGAGGGUGAUCGGCCACAUUGGGACUGAGACACGGCCCAAACUCCUACGGGAGGCAGCAGUAGGGAAUCUUCGGCAAUGGACGAAAGUCUGACCGAGCAACGCCGCGUGAGUGAAGAAGGUUUUCGGAUCGUAAAACUCUGUUGUUAGAGAAGAACAAGGAUGAGAGUAACUGUUCAUCCCUUGACGGUAUCUAACCAGAAAGCCACGGCUAACUACGUGCCAGCAGCCGCGGUAAUACGUAGGUGGCAAGCGUUGUCCGGAUUUAUUGGGCGUAAAGCGAGCGCAGGCGGUUUCUUAAGUCUGAUGUGAAAGCCCCCGGCUCAACCGGGGAGGGUCAUUGGAAACUGGGAGACUUGAGUGCAGAAGAGGAGAGUGGAAUUCCAUGUGUAGCGGUGAAAUGCGUAGAUAUAUGGAGGAACACCAGUGGCGAAGGCGGCUCUCUGGUCUGUAACUGACGC
rnacentral:rRNA from 1 species